GGUCAGAUAGUUCAAUGGCUAGAACAUCACAAACAUGUGUACUUGUCGGAUUGGCGUCUGUUAGUCUAUGUACAACACUUGUACUCGUAGCUCUGCUUGGGUGUAAAAGUAUUGUGAAGACGAGGGUUCAAUUCCUUCUCAGGCCA